GCCGGGCGCAGUGGCGCGUGCCUGUAGUCCCAGCUACUUGGGAGGCUGAAGUGGGAGGAUCGCUUGAGCCCAGGAGUUCUGGGCUGUAGGGCGCUAUGCGGAUCGGGUGUCCACACUAAGUUCGCCAUCAAUAUGGUGACCUCCUGGGAGCAGGGGACCACCAGGUUGCCUAAGGAGGGCUGAACCGGCCCAGGUCGGAAACGGAGCAGGUCAAAACUCCCGUGCUGAUCAGUAGUGAGAUCGCACCUGUGAAUAGCCACUACACUCCAGCCUAGGCAAUAUAGUGAGACCCUGCCUCU
rnacentral:SRP_RNA from 1 species